CUAGCAUUCUGAGGGAGAAGCAUUAUGAAAAGCUGGAGAGGACAAUCCAAGAGAUUAGAAGACCAUGGGAGACCUUUGGAGAGGAACAUGAAUGGAAUAUAGAAUAACAAGAGUUGGAAGGGACCUUGGAGGUCUUCUGGUCCAACGCCCUGCUCAAGCAGGAGACCCUAUAUUAUUCCAGACAAAUAGAUAUCCAAUAUCUUCUUAAAAAAUCUCCAUUGAUGGAGCACCCACAACUUCUGCAGAAUGUCAGAAUGUCUUGGAAUCUAUCUGAUUUUCAUCAGGAUUAUUCUCUGAAAAUGGAAAGAAGAGGAUCACUUUUGUUAUCAGGAGCCAGCAAAAGAAAAAGGAAGUUUUAAAAUGAAAUGAACCCAGCCAAGAGCUGCUGAAAAAAACAUGUACUCAAUGCAUUCAUUGGAACAGUUUCUGAACCUCAGCAGUUUGAAGGCAGGUGGACUUCACCAUGCUGACUGGGGAAUUCUGGGAGUUGAACUCCGUCCAUCUUCAAGUUGCCAAGGUUGAGAAACACUGGUAUGGAAAGCCAGCUGGGCAGGUUCAGCUGUGCGUGUGAACACACACACAUGCACACACACACACACACACACAGGUGCAACAGGAGGGAAAUUGUGCAGACACAAUAUAUUCCUUUGUUACACAGAAGGAAAUCCUCUGAUGGGCACUGUUGCUAAAUGGGUUAGAAAAAAUUCUAGAAGCCCUGCUUUGCAGACUUUUCCUAACUUGGUUAUAUGUCCCAUCCCCAAGAGAUUUUUAGCCUGGAUAAAGAAUACUGAACAGAUCCAUCUCCCUGAUAGCAUUGCAAUAUUACUUUUUGCUGAUGUUGCUUUUAAAGGUAGUUUUUUUCCUCCGGUUUUGCUCUGACAUCUAGAAAACAAAUUCAUUUAUUUUACUAUUUCCUGCAUUGGUCUUUUAACACGAAUUUGUUUCUCUUGUUUCACCAAUAGAGUUUUAAAUAUUUCAGAAGUCAGCUCCCUACUGCUAGGUGGGAUACUUUUCCUGGAUGAUAGAGAUUUUCAUCGCCAUGACUUAUCAUUAUGAAGCUUAUGAUUAAUGAAUACUUUCUUGGCGUUUAUAAAUCUUCAGCAAUUUCAUUACAUAAGACCAUUAGUGGCUUUUUUUUAUUGUUAUUAUGUCCUGUGAGAAACAUCUCAAUGGGCUGAUAGCCCAAAUUCUAGAGUGCAGAGUUUUGCAAUGAUCCAGAAUGAAGGUGAGGUAUGUUUACAUUCUUAUCCAACCAUCUCUCAUAACAUGUUAUUUUAAUACAGCUGGCAUGACAAGUUUAGUUAAUCCAUAUUAUAAAAUGCUCUCCAAUGUGUUCCUAUUGGCCAAUUUUCACCUACUCUUUGGGAUUGGUAUUCUUGCAAGCUUCACGGAAGCUUUCACGGAAAGACUUGUUCUAUUGUUUCUCCUACUUACCCCACUAAUAAGAUUAUAUUAGUUGCUGACACAGAGAAGGCACAUCAUGGUAAACUUCAGAAUUUAAGUAUACGAAAUAGCCAACUUCCUCUUUCAUCUAUCUGCUCACACAGGCUUUUUUUCUGAAAGUUAGCUUAGGGAAAGGAAGGCAACUUCCCAACAGUUAUGCAGCGCACAUGGUUGUAUCAAGACAACUUUAAAGUACAGAAACUGUGUUGGGCAAGUUGAAUAAUACAUAGGUGAAGAACUUUGAAACCUGAGAAAAGGAUACAUUCAUAAAAAUAUGACAUACAAGAAUAUUUUAUCAUUUGGGAGAGAAGAUUCAAUCUUCUUUCCCAAAUUAUAAAACAUUGAUGCUUUCUCUGUAAUAUCACGUUCCAAGUAUACAUGAAAGGGUUAAGGAAAUUCCAAGCACAGAAGGAAACUAUUGCAUUGUUAGAUCAGAUUUCUGCCAAAGAAAUAUAACUAAUACCAAAUAUCUUUUAAUUUUCUUCAGAGAACAUUGUAUCUCCAUGCUGUUUGCAUCCCAGAAAUAUUCCUAGGCGGGUGAUUUUGAAGUCUCAAGCUCUAAGAUAGUUAUUUGUAAGAAUAUAAAGGACCACUUUCUUGAUCUUUCUUUAAAUAAAUAAUUGAUUAGAUCAAGUUAUCUAAAUAAUGCAGAGAACUAUAUUGUAAUGGUAUGUGAGAAUGACCUUAAGACAGGAGUCGGCAACCUUAAAUAUUCAAAGAGCCACAAAGGUCCUAACUGGAAGCCCUCCGUUCAAUUCUGGAGCCGACCGGAAGUCCGGUUUCCCCACCAUAGAGUUUCCUCCUAGCACAGCAUCCUUUUUCCUCUACCUGUCCUAACCGAAAGCCCUAUCAAUUGUGGAGCUGACCGACGACAGGGAAUCGCAGCAGAGGGAUGAAAGAGCCACAUGUGGCUCCUGAGCCAUGGGUUGCUGACCCCUGCCUUAGGAGAUAGGACAACCAGACACAACCAAGAGAACUUUCAGAUAAAAAUAGCCCACAGCAAGAAUGUGGAGAAGUACUUUCAGACUUGCAAAAUUCUGUUAAUGAACCCUUACAAUAAAGUAAAUUACUACAUCUGCUCAUGUUUCCUGAUUGAUAUAUCUUGUAAGGCUGACCCAUGCAGGUUAAGAGAGUAGGCAAAGCUACAUCAUGAAAAGGAGAGUAAAAUAAACCAGAUAUUUUUAAGAAGACAACCACUGUGUGAAAUGGAAGACUUCCAAGGUCCCUUCCAAUUCUGUAAUUCUGUUAAAUUAAAAAUUAACCUCUGCUUUAAUCUCUAUCUCUGCCAACAAAUGGUGACCUCAUCAGAAAGAUCAAUUUGACUUGAGGAGAGAUCUAUUGGAUAUUGAAUUCAGCUUUCUCUUAGGGCCAGCACUUUUAUGAAAAUGUAAUCGCCAGCCACAGCUACUCUGUUGCUAUCUUUCCAUUGCCCUGAAAUUCUGGCAUUUCAAUCAAAGUUUCAUAGAAACCCAGAAUCCAAAAGGCACAAGUUCAGCCCUUUGCACUUUGCCAAAAGCAAAUGAAAAUCUGUUCUAAAUUAUAUUGCCAUGUGACCUAUACUUUUGGCUGAAUUAAGCACACAGAUGUAGCAUCCAGUUACUAAGGUUACUGUAUAUAAUUUGUUUGGUUUCUUUAGACCAUUGUUUAUUUUCUUUUUAAUUAAAAAAAGCAGCAAUGAUA